GGCCUAGUGGUUCGAGAGGUUAGAGCGUCCACCUCUGAACCGGGAGGUUGUGGGUUCGAUCCCCAUUCGAGUCA